rnacentral:rRNA from 1 species
UACGUAGGUGGCAAGCGUUGUCCGGAUUUACUGGGUGUAAAGGGCGAGUAGGCGGACUUGCAAGUCAGAUGUGAAAUGCAGAGGCUUAACCUCUGAGCUGCAUUUGAAACUGUAGGUCUUGAGUGAUGGAGAGGCAGAUGGAAUUCCCGGUGUAGCGGUGGAAUGCGUAGAUAUCGGGAGGAACACCGGUGGCGAAGGCGGUCUGCUGGACAUUAACUGACGCUGAGGAGCGAAAGCGUGGGGAGCAAAC